AACUUUCACAAAAUUGGACAUUUAAGCUUUUGCUUUAGAGUAUGUUAGCAACUGUUGAGUAGGUUGACUUCAGCCAACUUGGGAGAGAACACGUCACUGCAGAUGUUAUCUGUCAGUUGGUUUCAUAAGGCAGCUUUAUCUGCUCCAAAUGAAGCCAAUCUCUCCUAGUGUAACACUGUACCAGCAACUGCCAGUAAGGGGGGCGGGGAGGUUUACAGUCUCAAAUAAACUGAAUGGGUGGCCCAGGAGAUGGCACAGUGGAUAAAGCACUGGACACUCAUGCAUGAGAUCCUGAUUCAAUCCCUGGCAGCACAUGUACCAGAGUGAUGUCUGGUUAAUUGUCUCUCUCUCCUGUAUCUUUCUCAUGAAUAAAUUUUUAAAAAAUUGUUAAAGUCCUAAAAUAAUAAAAAUAAACAUUAUUAU